GACGAACGCUGGCGGCGUGCCUAAUACAUGCAAGUCGAGCGAGCUUGCCUAGAUGAUUUUAGUGCUUGCACUAAAUGAAACUAGAUACAAGCGAGCGGCGGACGGGUGAGUAACACGUGGGUAACCUGCCCAAGAGACUGGGAUAACACCUGGAAACAGAUGCUAAUACCGGAUAACAACACUAGACGCAUGUCUAGAGUUUGAAAGAUGGUUCUGCUAUCACUCUUGGAUGGACCUGCGGUGCAUUAGCUAGUUGGUAAGGUAACGGCUUACCAAGGCAAUGAUGCAUAGCUGAGUUGAGAGACUGAUCGGCCACAUUGGGACUGAGACACGGCCCAAACUCCUACGGGAGGCAGCAGUAGGGAAUCUUCCACAAUGGACGAAAGUCUGAUGGAGCAACGCCGCGUGAGUGAAGAAGGGUUUCGGCUCGUAAAGCUCUGUUGGUAGUGAAGAAAGAUAGAGGUAGUAACUGGCCUUUAUUUGACGGUAAUUACUUAGAAAGUCACGGCUAACUAC
rnacentral:rRNA from 1 species